ACAUAUGUAUGUAUACUAUGUAUGUUUAAAAAUUUGCGAGUAUAUAAAAUGUGGUCGGGAUGUGUGAUGCCAGUCCUUGAAGUAACAUCAAGAUUGGAAGAUGAAGUUCCUCGGGUAUUUGUUGGUGGUUAUGGCUCUGGUGUUUGCUGUCGUGGCUGGCAUGACAGAUAAUCAAGCUGCUGGGUGUCAUGGCGGCGGUGGUGGCAGACCACCUCGUCCCCCACCACCAUCGACUACAAUGGCAACUACCACCACGGCUGCCACCAAUUCAUCAAGUGGAUAAACAUCAUUCACAAAAUCAUUGGACAGGCACAACCGAUUGGCAAUUUUAUACAAUCAUUAUUAAAUAAAUAAAGUAUUAUAAUCAAACAAAUAAAUAAAUGAGUCUUA